GGAAUUUUACCAGCAAGUAUAUUUUGUAGCGGACAUACCUACUUUGUCCAGGCCAUGUAUCAACAACUCAGAUUGGAGCCGUAUGCUGUGCAUACCACAUUCCAGUAUGCAGGUACUGAAGGAAAGCGCCACCGGUUGCGGGAAGCCAUGGUUUUUUAUGAUCCACCAGAUUACUAUGAUGCGCCAGGGGGUUUUUUUGUCAUUUAAGCCAUCUAUUCCAAAGAGUCUGUUACUAGAUGGGGAACACAAUCUUGAAUCCCACUUUUCCCUGGUUAAUUACCAGAUUAAACAAAUAAGGUCAGCGCUUGCAAUUGCUUCCUUGUUAAAUCGUGUACUGGUCAUGCCUCCAUUAUGGUGCAGAUUGGAUAGGCUAUGGUUUCCCCAUCCCGGAGUUCUAAAAGGAACUAUGACUAGGCAACCUUUUAUCUGCCCUUUGGACCAUGUUUUUGAGGUCAAUGUGAUGUUAAAACAGCUGCCAGAGGAGGA
rnacentral:misc_RNA from 1 species